rnacentral:rRNA from 1 species
AUGCCAACCGACAACCAUAGGAACCAACGACCAACAAUGCUGACUUUGAUAACGAGCUUCACAAGGGGAAAAUGCAGGGCUCGCAUCGAUCGAGUCUGCCGCAAACAACAACUGAGAGCAUGCCAUCAUCACCACCUGGACUCACUCCACCACAGCUUCGGCUUCAUAGCUAAAAGGCACACCACAGAGGAACACAUCGAACACAUCGGAAAGAAACGACUACCAGAGCCCGAGCCCAAGAUGACGGUGUGCUAUGCCGGCAGUGGCCCAUGGGUAGGAGGCACGUCAAUGGGCCGGACUCAUGACCCAGUAGGCGUAGCUAUGAGCGAGGGCCCUUUGUUCGACGGGAAGCCCGACUUCUGGAGAAUCAUCAUCUUGGCGUGCAAGUCAAGGAUCCCUCGGCCGGUUCAGGGUCGAGACCCGCUAGCCAUAGCCAUAGGUUUCCUCCCGUCCGCCUCGCUCGACGGCGCCGCCACCGCCGCCGCCGAUUUCUUGCUCCGGCAUGUCGGCCCCAGCUGUUCGCUCUCCCCCGUGGGAGGAGGGUCACACUUCGGCUCGUCCUUCGGUUCUCCCCCUAACGGGACGGCCGCCGAGAGGCUCACCGACGACCUCAUCGUGGAGAUCCUCUCGCGCGUCCCCGCCAAAUCGCUCUGCCGCUUCAAGUGCGUCUCCAACCACUGGCUGAGCCUGAUCGACCAUCCCGAUCACCGCAAAAAGCUCCCACAAACCCUGGCCGGCUUCUUCUACACCAGCACUGACUUUGAGCGCUUCCAGAAAUCAGCACACCAUCUCGCCAAUGUCUCGGGGAGAAGCUGCCCUCCCAUAGACACCUCUUUCUCCUUCCUGCCCAACCACCGGCGUGUCGAUCUAUUGGACUGCUGCAGCGGCCUCCUCCUCUGCGCUCGUACGCUGCCGGGGGUGACGAGUGCCGUUAUAUUGUGUGCAAUCCUGCGAGGGAGGAGUGGGUCAUGCUGCCGGAAACCAGCAAUGCAGGCAUGGUGGUGGGCUCAAGUGGAUGUGUAUUCAUCGGAAACCGGGGUCUGGGUUCGUAAAGAAAAGAGAUGGAAGGAGAAUAUUUGGCUUCUUAGUCCUCAGUACACGUCUGCUGUUUUCCUCAACGACUGUAUGCAUUUUCACGCCUAUGGCAGUAGGUCAUGUCAUUGUCUAGCUGUGGUUGAAACGGAGAGGGAAACAUGGAUGACCUUCCGUGUCCCGCAUGAUGUGUACAGUACUGGUUUUCUUCAGCAGUCACAUGGCUGCUUGCAUUAUUCCAGUUUUCAGAUAAGUGCAGAUCAUGCUAAGGUUCAACUAAUGGUUUAUGCUCUUGAGGAUUAUGACAACAAAGAGUGGAUGUUGAAGCAUAGUGUGGAAACCUCACACAUAUCUGGAGGGACAAUCCUUAAUAGUUACCUCUGGAUGGCGAUUCAUACGGAGUGUGACUUGAUCUUCUUCACCACGGGAAGGGGAAGAGAUACCAAUUUCAUGUGCUAUAAUAUGAAUAGUCGACAAGUCAAAGUGAUAUCCAGUCUUGAGUAUGGUGAUCGGCCAUAUCUGCCGUACGUGCCUUUCUAUGCAGAGUUACAAUCAUUGCACACAUGA